GAUGAACGCUGACAGAAUGCUUAACACAUGCAAGUCUUUGGCGAAGCUGUGCUUGCACAGCCUAGCCAAGGCGGACGGGUGAGUAACGCGUAAGGAACUUGCCCUGCAGUCAGGGAUAACAGACGGAAACGACUGAUAAGACCUGGUAAAGUCAGGCGGACUCAUGUCCAGCCUUAUGAAAAGAGAUGCUGCAGGAGAGCCUUGCGUCCUAUUAGCUUGUUGGUGGGGUAACGGCCCACCAAGGCGAUGAUAGGUAGCCGGCCUGAGAGGGUGGACGGCCACAAGGGGACUGAGAUACGGCCCUUACUCCUACGGGAGGCAGCAGUGGGGAAUAUUGGACAAUGGGGGCAACCCUGAUCCAGCAAUUCUGUGUGCACGAUGAAGGUUUUCGGAUUGUAAAGUGCUUUCAGCAGGGAAGAAAAAAAUGACGGUACCUGCAGAAGAAGCGACGGCUAAAUACGUG
rnacentral:rRNA from 1 species